UAGGGAAUCUUCCACAAUGGACGCAAGUCUGAUGGAGCAACGCCGCGUGAGUGAAGAAGGUUUUCGGAUCGUAAAGCUCUGUUGUUGGUGAAGAAAGAUAGAGGCAGUAACUGGUCUUUAUUUGACGGUAAUCAACCAGAAAGUCACGGCUAACUACGUGCCAGCAGCCGCGGUAAUACGUAGGUGGCAAGCGUUGUCCGGAUUUAUUGGGCGUAAAGCGAGCGCAGGCGGAAUGAUAAGUCUGAUGUGAAAGCCCACGGCUCAACCGUGGAACUGCAUCGGAAACUGUCAUUCUUGAGUGCAGAAGAGGAGAGUGGAAUUCCAUGUGUAGCGGUGGAAUGCGUAGAUAUAUGGAAGAACACCAGUGGCGAAGGCGGCUCUCUGGUCUGCAACUGACGCUGAGGCUCGAAAGCAUGGGUAGCGAACAGG
rnacentral:rRNA from 1 species